rnacentral:rRNA from 1 species
GUGGGGAAUUUUGCGCAAUGGGGGAAACCCUGACGCAGCAACGCCGCGUGGAGGAUGAAAUAUCUUGGKAUGUAAACUCCUUUCGAUCGGGACGAUAAUGACGGUACCGAUAGAAGAAGCCCCGGCUAACUUCGUGCCAGCAGCCGCGGUAAUACGAGGGGGGCAAGCGUUGUUCGGAAUUAUUGGGCGUAAAGGGUGCGUAGGCGGUUUGAUAAGUCUUAUGUGAAAUCUAUGGGCUCAACCCAUAGUCUGCAUAGGAAACUGUCGGGCUUGAGAGUGGGAGAGGUGAGUGGAAUUUCCGGUGUAGCGGUGAAAUGCGUAGAUAUCGGAAGGAACACCUGUGGCGAAAGCGGCUCACUGGACCAUUUCUGACGCUGAUGCACGAAAGCUAGGGGAGCAAACAGGAUUAGAUACCCUGGUAGUCCUAGCCCUAAACGAUGAUUGCUUGAUGUGGAGGGUACCCAAUCCUUCCGUGUCGAUAGCUAACGCGAAAAGCAUUCCGCCUGGGGAGUACGGUCGC